CAUGUCUGUGUUGAAAACAUUAACUCCAAUUAUUUGCAAACUUUUCAAAAAAUAGAUGGGAAACACUCCACUCAUUCAGUGAGGCCAGCAUUAUCCUCAUACUAAAAUCAAAAAAUACAUUCAGGAAAACCAAUACAAUAUUCCCUAUUUUUAUAGGUGAGUAAACCUCAGCAAAAAUGUGAACAAACAAUUCAGUAACACCUAAAAAGAUACUUUAUAUAUAACAAAGUGGAAUAACUUUUGAAUGAAAAGAUAAUUAAACCAAUGAAAAUCAUUCAAUGUAAUACAAAAAAAUAGAAAAAUAACAAUAAGGAUAUAAUCAUCUCAGUAAACACAAAAAUUUGACAAAACCCCACACUUCUUCAUGAUGAGAGCAUCCAAAACUAGGAAAAGGCUUUUCUUAGCCUAUUACAUCAUAGUAAAAGUGUCUCUACUUUUUAGAGGAUUACUAUGUUGAAUUACAUAUGUUUAUAUGUUUGUUUCUCCACUACAUUGUAAAGUUCUUAAAAACAUAUUUAUUUAUUUCUAUAUUUUGAUCCCUGAUAUAUGGUUUUGGCUAAAAUAAAAAUAAUGGUUAAAUGAAUAUGACCAAAUAUGCAAUAACACAUCAACAAAUAAAGAUAUCCAAAAAUUAAAACAUGGCAUUUUGCCUGUCAAAGUGUAUAAAUAUAUCUGCCAUAAAUCUUGGUGCAAUUUUUACUAUAUUUCUUUUACUUCUGCUAUUUUGUAUUGAGGGAAAAUAGGCAAGAAAGAACUUAUGACAAGUAGUUGCCAAAACUCCCUUGUCAAUUCACUCACUUCAAUUAUAAAAGUAGUGAGAAAUGGACCUGGUAAAUCUAAUCUGAAUAGUUAAAUGUAAUUCUUAAAAGAGCUAACUUUUACAUGAGUGAUAAGAACAUUUUUCUGCACCUUCACUGUUAGUAAUCAUCUGUAUUAUCUAUUUUAAAUCAAGCCUCUGUUUAAACCUUAUUUUCAGUAGUGCCAUUGUUAAUACUCAUGGCAAUUUUAUGAUUUGUCCAUUGCAUAUUAAAUAGCAAAAUAUACAUUAAUUUACUAUGUAGUAAAUGUUAUUAAUAUAUUAGAUCAUCUUCAUCAGUACAGAAUUAAUCUAAAAUGUCAGAAUGUACUGAGAUUUUCAGUGGAAAUCUAAAUAAAUGGAAGCCUUAAUGGGAUAAAAUGGUUAAACAAUAAAAUGCUAUUGUACUCUAAUUUACAUUAUUGAUUUGAAAAAUAUUGCAAAGGAAAUUGCAUAAAAUAUAGAGGAAUAAAAUUUAUAAAACACAAUGUGUUCAGGUAUACUUACUUUUAAAAUAUUACAUGAAAGAGCAACAAAGAAAAAUACUACCAUCCCAUUUUAGCAACGAUUUUAACUCCUAAAUAUUGGUAUUUUCCAGUAUCCUUAAUCAUAAACUUCAACCCAUGAAAAACUGAGUGUAGCAUCAAGUUCUAAUUUUCAAAAACAUAAAAUAUACUCAACAGCCCAAGUAUUUUCUAUUAACUGUAAUUCUAUCCAUGAGGUUCUCAGCCUACUAUGAAAAUAUUCUGAAAGAAAACAAAAGUUCAAUGAAAUAAAAUAGUAGAACUAUUAUCAGAUAACACAAUGUCCUUACAAAUUUCUAACAAAAAAGAACACAUUUAUUAAAGAAAAUUUCUUUCCAUCCACUGAUUUCAUGUCACAUCACACAGAAAUGAGCUGCAAGAAAAAUGUUCAGGUGAACCAAGAGCAAUUUCUUUAAGUAACUAACAAGUAGAAAAAUUUGUUCUACUGUUUAGUUUAACUUGACUUUUUGUCAGUUUCUUGAAUUUCUUAAAUUUGUUUGUAUACAUAAAAUAAAGAGCUUCAUCUCCUUCUACCAAAUGGGAACUUUUAAGAGUCUAGCAAUUAGGAUAAUAUCUGUGAAGGUAAUGUAAUACAACUAAGUAACCAUAUUUCUUUUCAUUUUCAGUUAUUAACAGUGUGUAGCAUCACAAAUAAAGGCCCUUAGAUGUAAAAUUAUUCUGUGCCACAUAGUCUACAAACUUCCACAAUUUCUUUUUCCCAUCACUAUUCAUCUACAAGAUGAACACCAAAGGACAAAACUCCUGAAUUUGCACCCAUUCAACUUUUUCCACUUGACAUGUACAGAGUGCAGCAGAAAAGUGACAUUCAGGGUGCCUUCAUUCAAGUUUAAGCUCUGGUCUUGAGUUCAGCUUUCUGACACCUUGGGAAGCAGCAGGUGAAAGAGCCCUAAAAUAAAAAUUUCAAAACUUGUCUAAAGAAAUAACAGGAAACAAAAAAUGAAACACAAUUUCCUUGUCUGUGGAUUGGUUGAAUUAAUACCAUCAUAAUUAAAAUACUACUGACAGCAGUUUAUAGAUUCAAUGUGAUCCUAGA